rnacentral:rRNA from 1 species
UACAGAGGUCCCGAGCGUUGUUCGGAUUCACUGGGCGUAAAGGGUGCGUAGGUGGUGAGGUAAGUCGGAUGUGAAAGCUCCGAGCUCAACUCGGAAAUGGCAUUGGAAACUACCUUGCUCGAGGGGUUUGAGGGGGGACUGGAAUACUUGGUGUAGCAGUGAAAUGCGUAGAUAUCAAGUAGAACACCAAGUGGCGAAGGCGAG